rnacentral:rRNA from 1 species
AGCAGCCGCGGUAAUUCCAGCUCCAAUAGCGUAUAUUAAAGUUGUUGCAGUUAAAAAGCUCGUAGUUGAAUUUCGGGGCCAGUAGGUUGGUCGUGCCACUGGUAUGCACUGGCCUCACUGGUCCCUCCUUCUUGUAGAACCGUGAUGGCAUUAAUUUGUUGUUGCGGGGAAACAGGACUGUUACUUUGAAAAAAUUAGAGUGCUUAAAGCAGGCUCGCGCUUGAAUACAUUAGCAUGGAAUAACGAAAUAGGACGAUCGAACCUAUUUUGUUGGUUUCUAGGAUCGACGUAAUGAUUAAUAGGGAUAGUUGGGGGCAUUAGUAUUCAAUUGUCAGAGGUGAAAUUCUUGGAUUUAUUGAAGACUAACUACUGCGAAAGCAUUUGCCAAGGAUGUUUUCAUUAAUCAAGAACGAAAGUUAGGGGAUCGAAGACGAUCAGAUACCGUCGUAG